GGUGUAAUCUGAUUGGCCAGCCUUGGACCCUUUGGGCAUCCCUGCCUAGAACCUGGUUGUCUGGAAUCACUUCGAUCCACAAGCUGAAAAUAAGAACCUGGAGGCGUGAUGGUACAAGGUCGUCCCGUCACCCCGGAAACGGAGGCAGGAGGAUCAGAAAUUUCAGGAGAAAGAGGUUGUUAUAAGUUGAGAUGAACAGCACCACCACCACCACCACCACCAAGCAACAGCACCACCACCACCAAGCAACAGCACCACCACCACCACCAAGCAACAGCACCACCACCACCACCAAGCAACAGCACCACCACCACCACCACCAAGCAACAGCACCACCACCACCACCAAGCAACAGCACCGUCUUUUUAUUAGGGACAAGACCAAGACUGACUAGUCCUGGGCUAGCCAUCAACCAGACCACAGGCUGACCAAAGCCUUCUGCAUCUCAAGAUGGCCUUGAACUCGCUGUGCAGCUGAGGCUGACCACCUCGUGAUCCUCCUGCCCCGACAUUCCAAACGCAGAGAUGACAGGCAGGCACCAGGACACUCCGCUGUGAACUCCUUACUGACAGCCUUCCCUGGGCCUCCCUCUCUGACCUGUCUUCUCUGCCCACUGUGCUUCCCAUAUCUUCAGAGACUCACCUUCUGACCCCCAUCGCCCCAUGGGUACCCAAAGCCACUCACUCAGCCUGAUUCUCAGCAAACCUUGGGCUGGUCCACUAGUUCCUGUUGGCAAACUUCUUGGACCUCCCAUUGCUUCGUCUCUGCCCCCGGCCCUUCGAUCCCGGCUGUCAUUAUACCCCAUUUAACUUCCACUGACCUCUCAGUAGGUCCGACCAUCCAAUUAGUCCCCAUUGAUCCCCCCAACUGAAUCCUUUAUGACUUUCAUGGUGCCUCUGGCCAGCUUCCUACUGAAUCAUUUUAUGAUUCCUAAUGACUGUCCCAAUUUACUAACCUCUGGUGUCUCCUAGUUCUUCUUCUUCUUCUCUCUCUCUCUUUUUUUAAUUAAUACUGAGUCUCACUGUGUUGCCCAGGCUGUUUCAAACUCCAAUCUCCUGCCUCAGGCUCAGGAGUAAUUAUGACAAGUGUCACUGCACUCCACUUUAAUCCCAGCCUCUCCCUCUUCCCCUCUCCCACAGUGC
rnacentral:lncRNA from 1 species